GAUGAACGCUGGCGGCGUGCCUAAUACAUGCAAGUCGAACGAACAGACGAUGAGCUUGCUCUCUUGCCGUUAGCGGCGGACGGGUGAGUAACACGUGUAUAACCUACCUAUUAGACUUGGAUAACUUCGUGAAACCGGAGCUAAUACCGCAUAAUAUAUCUAACCGCAUGAUUCAAUAGUGAUAGACGGUUUUCCCGUCACUUAUAGAUGGAUCCGCGCCGCAUUAGCUAGUUGGUAAGGUAACGGCCUACCAAGGCAACGAUGCGUAGCCGACCUGAGAGGGUGAUCGGCCACACUGGAACUGAGACACGGUCCAGACUCCUACGGGAGGCAGCAGUGGGGAAUCUUCCGCAAUGGGCGAAAGCCUGACGGAGCAACGCCGCGUGAGUGAUGAAGGUCUUCGGAUCGUAAAACUCUGUUAUUAGGGAAGAACGAAUGUGUGAGUAUAUAUGGACGUCUUGACGGUACCUAAACAGAAAGCCACGGCUAACUACGUG
rnacentral:rRNA from 1 species